GACGAACCGUGCAAACGUUACUCGGAAUCACUGGGCUUAAAGCGUACGUAGGCGGCAACAUAAGUCAGAGGUGAAAUCCUAUCGGCUCAACCGUGGAACUGCCUCUGAUACUGUGCUGCUUGAGGGAGAACGGGGCAUUCGGAACUUCCGGUGGAGCGGUGAAAUGUGUUGAUAUCGGAAGGAACGCCGGUGGCGAAAGCGGAAUGCUGGGUCUCAACUGACGCUGAGGUACGAAAGCUAGGGUAGCGAACGGG
rnacentral:rRNA from 1 species